rnacentral:rRNA from 1 species
GAUGAACGCUGGCGGCGUGCCUAAUACAUGCAAGUCGAGCGAACAGACGAGGAGCUUGCUCCUCUGACGUUAGCGGCGGACGGGUGAGUAACACGUGGAUAACCUACCUAUAAGACUGGGAUAACUUCGGGAAACCGGAGCUAAUACCGGAUAAUAUAUUGAACGGCAUGGUUCAAUAGUGAAAGACGGUUUUGCUGUCACUUAUAGAUGGAUCCGCGCCGCAUUAGCUAGUUGGUAAGGUAACGGCCUACCAAGGCAACGAUGCGUAGCCGACCUGAGAGGGUGAUCGGCCACACUGGAACUGAGACACGGUCCAGACUCCUACGGGAGGCAGCAGUAGGGAAUCUUCCGCAAUGGGCGAAAGCCUGACGGAGCAACGCCGCGUGAGUGAUGAAGGUCUUCGGAUCGUAAAGCUCUGUUAUUAGGGAAGAACAAAUGUGUAAGUAACUAUGCACGUCUUGACGGUACCUAAACAGAAAGCCACGGCUAACUUCGUG